rnacentral:rRNA from 1 species
GGACGGAAGUUGAAUUGACUGAGUGGCGGACGGGUGAGUAACGCGUGGGUAACCUGCCUUGUACUGGGGGACAACAGUUAGAAAUGACUGCUAAUACCGCAUAAGCGCACAGUAUCGCAUGAUACGGUGUGAAAAACUCCGGUGGUACAAGAUGGACCCGCGUCUGAUUAGCUAGUUGGUAAGGUAACGGCUUACCAAGGCGACGAUCAGUAGCCGACCUGAGAGGGUGACCGGCCACAUUGGGACUGAGACACGGCCCAAACUCCUACGGGAGGCAGCAGUGGGGAAUAUUGCACAAUGGGCGAAAGCCUGAUGCAGCGACGCCGCGUGAGUGAAGAAGUAUUUCGGUAUGUAAAGCUCUAUCAGCAGGGAAGAAAAUGACGGUACCUGACUAAGAAGCCCCGGCUAACUACGUGCCAGCAGCCGCGGUAAUACGUAGGGGGCAAGCGUUAUCCGGAUUUACUGGGUGUAAAGGGAGCGUAGACGGUAAAGCAAGUCUGAAGUGAAAGCCCGCGGCUCAACUGCGGGACUGCUUUGGAAACUGUUUAACUGGAGUGUCGGAGAGGUAAGUGGAAUUCCUAGUGUAGCGGUGAAAUGCGUAGAUAUUAGGAGGAACACCAGUGGCG